UACGUAGGGGGCAAGCGUUGUCCGGAUUCAUUGGGCGUAAAGAGCGUGUAGGCGGCCUGAAAGGUCAGCUGUGAAAACUCGAGGCUCAACCUCGAGACGUCGGUUGAAACCAUCUGGCUAGAGUCCGGAAGAGGAGUGUGGAAUUCCCGGUGUAGCGGUGGAAUGCGCAGAUAUCGGGAAGAACACCCGUGGCGAAGGCGGCACUCUGGGACGGUACUGACGCUGAGACGCGAAAGCGUGGGGAGCGAACAGG
rnacentral:rRNA from 1 species